GCAUGGUUAGAAUUGCAAACAUUUUAGAAAAUGCUGAAAGACCAAUUUUGCUAGUUCAGCUUCAGAUGUAAAUGUUUCCUUCUAGGCUGAUGUAUCAUUCUGCUUUUCCCUAGUCUGAGGAAGCCAGACUGUAGAUGUUGAGGAGCAAACUCCUCCACAUUUUGUCAACAAGCCUUCAUUCUAUUUUGUAAAUAGAAAUUGAGUUUUUUCUUUUUUAUGUUAUUUUCCUUUUGGAGAAAGUAACCUUUCAAGUGUACCAAGGGAGUUGUUAAAUAAUUCACCGUUAAUGUUUUCAGUGACAACACUAACAAAAGGAGAUGUGGGGUCUGAAAUCGGUGGCAUUCCCACGAGUUUGGUUCUGUGUCUGGAGGAGUGACUGCAGCAUAAUGACAGAUGUAACCUUUACUCAGGGAAGACUCCACCCACUCGGCACUUUGGAGCACCCACGCUCCUUAGAAUGCUCUGAGCCAGUCUUCUCCCCAGUGUCCCAAACCCCACACCUUUGCUUCCAGCCCGUUUGGGAUGCUGUCAAGAGAAAAUGCUAGAUUUUAGGUUUACUUGGAAGUAGAUGAUCCAGGUAUGAUCCUCAUUUCUAGGUGUUUUACUGCUCUCUUUCCCAUCUGGUUGCUCCGACUCUGGCUCUCCAGUUACUCUGAAGUGUUGAUUUGGCUACAUUAACCUUCUAUUUUCAUCACAUGCAAAAUUAUGGCAGAGAAAAUAAGGAAACAAGACUGUUGCCUUACUAUACUGGAACGAGGAAUUGCAUAGCCCAUCAAAAUGUUUUUAAAACAGCUCUUUGAUCAAAAGAAAAUUAAUGUGUCUUGCCAUCCUCAGAUGGAACUGACAGUUGUUACACCUUGAAAUCAUUUUCUUGCCAGACUGUAGUAUUUUCUGUUGUCUUGUUGAAGACCCUUUUUUUUUUUUUUCUCCUUUAUUUUCGUGUUUACCUUUUGAAAUGUCUUGGGGGAAACAACAGUAAACUGUAAGUAAUCAUAUUAAUUUCAAAUUGAGUAUUUUUCUCUUCUGGAUUUAGACACUUGGUUUUCGCUGUAGCUCUGUCAUAACAGGUAGGUUAAAAUCUGUGACUUGGUUUUGACAGGAUUUCUUUUGUGCACUUUUAUGACAUGAGGCAGCAAAGAAGAUGAGAUUAUUUUGCAGGUUAUUGCUUUUGAAACAAUACUCCUGAGUUCUUCCUCAGUGCAGAUUCAUGAAAGCUGAUACAGAGGCUCCUGGGUCAGAGUUGAUCUAAGGUAGAGAUUUGUUUUUCCCUUGAGGAUAAUGACUCGUCUUUCAUUCCAAGCUGUGUGCAAUAUGUCCCCUAGGGUUACCAUUGAAAUAAAAUGAAUUCUUGCCAAUAGAACAUCUUUAUGGGGAAAGAAUAUGAACUAAUCAUUUAAAAUUUAUAACCAGUUCCUCUAGCAUGACCAAAGGAAGUUUGGUUAUGCUUUUAAAUGUGUUUUUAUUCCACUCCCUCUAAUUAGAGUGAGGAGUGCCAUUCCUCACAACUUCACGGUUAGAAUGAAUUUAGAGUUUUUGAGCAAUAGAUGUGCUGUUUGGUCUGAGGUCAGAUGUUCAGGGUUAAGGCAGAAUUUGUAAGGAUUAGAGGUUAGAUAGACAGUAAGGGGAAAUGAGGUUAGUCAGAAAAAAAUUGCACAAGAUAACUUGAGGGUUUUCAGGGUAAUGAUUUUGAUAAUCGCAGUAACAGCAUUUGGACAUUUUGGGAAUGUGAAAAGGAAGAAUUAGAAAGUAGGUUUUUGGUAACUGAAUAAUAAGUACAUCUCUCUCUUUUAAAAGAUCAAGUUCUUAAAAAGAGCUACUCCCUAAAGACAAAUGCUGGGGCUCUUUGUUUUAAGGCACCGGGGCCACCUGCUUGUUCAAAUGGAAGGUUGCUCUGGACGAGUUAGGAUUAGUCAAUUGAGAGAGAUGCAUGAAGGUCUUGAAACAAGUUAGAGGUUUACUUCUGCUGCCUACACACCUUCUGGAGGAAGGAGGUGUGGCAGCUUCACUAUGUUUGAGUCUCAAGGCUCACUCAUCCUCAGAUUCUACUUCUUGUGCCCACCAUUCUUGGGGCACCCUCCCAAUCCAAGGUCAGGCUUGGGGCUAUAUGAAGUCUCAGUUGCAGACUGGAGAAAGAGUUAGGAAAGACAGAGCAAAAAGGGUCUCUCAGAGUCAGUUCCCUUUCUGCAUCCUUCACUUGAUACAUCCACAGAGAACUUGGUCACAUGACGAUCCCUAGUUCCAAGGAAGGCUGGGGAGUAGACUCCUGUUCCAGCUUAUUGAAAGACUUGUUAAAUACUUUUUUUUUUUUUUUUUUGCCCUGUUUGUAGUAUGCAGAAAUACAGAAGUUCACAGGUUAGGGAUUGAACCUGUGCCACAGCACUGACACGCCUGAUCCUUAACUGCUAGGCCACCAGGGAAUUCCCAUUCAUAUUGUAUGAAAGUAAAAAUUGGGGUAACUUCCAAAGGUAGAAAGGAAAAUAAAUGUUGGGGAAGGUAAUGAUACUCGGUCUUUCAGCUGUGAGACUGUCAGUGACACUGUAGUUUAUUCAAAAUAAACCCAGUAGUGUUAUGACAAUGAUGGUAUCUUAAUAAUAGAAAUGAUCCCAAAUAUUAAAUGAUUAGCCAUUCAUUUGAACAUUGACACCCAUGAGUGUGUGGAACUUUUUGAAAGUUUAGAGUUUAUGCACUUCACCCAACAAAUUAUCUUACGUGUUUGAUUUUUCCUUUGUUGCAGUUUUCAUUUUGAAUAUCCAUGGAACAUAGCCUUGGCUUUUAAUAUUUUCCUUACCAGUUUCUUUACUCACACAGAAUUCAUUUCCUAUGGAUAUCUGAAGAGGCUGGAUCGUUUUGCAGAAUCAGUUUAAUAUGACUUCUUGGCCUUCAGAAGGAGCACCUCUUCGGAAGCCUUUUGGCUGCUAUGGGAAGCUGGGAUCUCAUGUCUCCCCUACUUUGGCACAACAGAUACAACCAUGAUUGCUGAGAUUUGGGGCUUUAUAAACUUUAUGGAGAAGCUUUAGCUUGCCAGCAAUAAGCCAUAAUAACAAUGUCGGACUGUAUAAACUUAGGGUUGUUUGACUACAUAUCAAUUUAAUGUACUAAAAAUAUCCUUCCAGUUAAAGAAAAGAUAAUAAAAUAAAUCAAUACUCUUGCUUGGUAUGUAUGGUUUUGUGAGUGGACAUGAGUUUUAGGAGUCUAAACUUGCUUUGGGAAUGGGAAGUUGUGAACUCUAAUUUGAGUUCUGUUACUGUCUCAGUCUUCUAAAUUCAGCCCAUUCACAACUUGUAGCAUAUAACCACGAGGUGUUCCUUUAAAAGGUUACUUUUCCGUGAGCAUUGUAGACAUAAAUGAUCUAGUAAGAAUUGAACUAAAAGUGCUUAUAAAACAACUUGUAGCAGUCAAAGUAUUAAUCAUUAAAAGUUAGGUAUUAGAGCAGGAUUUAAAGAAGUGAAAUCAAACCAGUACAAUAAAUCACAUUCUUGAAAUUAUGCUUUUGAAUUGGAGAUUGAAGUAUGUGCUUUAUAGCCCAUGAUAAAACACUCUGCUACACAUGUUAUCUCUGUCUUAUUUGAGCUGGCCUAGAAAAACUGGAGAGAAGGAAAAAAUUGAGCCACUUGCUUAUUAAGCAGAUGUCCGAAGACAACAGACUUUCUUGAGAGAACCAAGAUUUUCUUGAGAGAACCAAGAUUAAGGGGGAGAAGUCCGUUCUAUGGAACAAACUUGUAAUCUUUUAUUCUUAAUCUUGUAGAGAAUGUCUGAAUGUAUCCAGAUCUCAUUUGCUGUUUGUAGAAUUGGCAUUUACACGGUAAGCAAUGGAUAUUUCUGCAAUACCAAAUGUCAUGAAAAUAUAAGUGGAGAACUGAGUACUGGAGAGUGCGUAGAGCUGUGGGAAUUGUCCUGCACUGCUGCUGAGGAGUGUACAUUUUUACAACUAUUUUGGAAAUAAUAGAGUUAGAAUGCCAGCAUAUUCUGUGACCCAAGUAAAUCUACUCCUAGGUGUGUACUUCAGAGAAAUUGUGUAAUUCUAAGAAGACCUGUGCAGGGAAAGUUCCUAACAGAGGUAUUCAUAAAAGCAGAAUAUUAGAAAUACUGAAAGUGUCCAUUGGUAAUAGAUGGGAUUGAUACAUUGUGGAAUUUAAUGCAUUUCGUAGGAUACCAUAUAGCAGCAAACACAUGCAAAUUAAAAAUAUA
rnacentral:lncRNA from 1 species